rnacentral:rRNA from 1 species
UAUAAUGCAGUCGAGCGAAUGGAUUAAGAGCUUGCUCUUAUGAAGUUAGCGGCGGACGGGUGAGUAACACGUGGGUAACCUGCCCAUAGGACUGGGAUAACUCCGGGAAACCGGGGCUAAUACCGGAUAACAUUUUGAACCGCAUGGUUCGAAAUUGAAAGGCGGCUUCGGCUGUCACUUAUCGGAUCGUACCCGCGUGCGAUCAUAAGCUAGUUAGGUGUGCAUGGGUAAUCGGAUUCACUCAAGAGCAACGAUGCGUAACCUGAGCCUUGAUGAGGGUGAUUCGGCCACACUCGGGACUGAGAACUACGGCCCAAACUCCUACUGGGAGGCAGCACUAGGGAAUGUCUUCCGCAAUGGAACGAAAAGUCUAGACGGAGCAACGCCAGGCGUAGAGUGAAGAAAGGCAUUGCGGGUCGUAAAACUAUAGCUGUUAGGGGAAGGAACAAAAUGCUCAGUUGAAUUAACCUGGCACCUGGACGGUACCUAACCAGAAAAGCCAAGCGCUAACUACGUGCCAGCAGGCCGCGGUAAAUACGUUAGGUGGGCAAGGCGUUAUUCCGGAAUUUAUUGGGCGUAAAGCGCGCGCAGGCGGUUUCUUUAAGUUAGGAUGUGAAAGCCCACGGCUUCAACCGUGGAGGGUCAUUCGAAACUGGGAGACUGGAGUGCAGAAGACGAAAAGGGGAAUUCCAUGUGUAGCGGUGAAAGGCGUAGAGAUAUGGAGGAACACCAGUGGCGAAGGAGACUUUCUGCUCUGGUAACGGACACUGAGGCGCGAAAGCAUGAGGAGCAAACAGGAUUAGAUACCCUGGUAGUCCACGCCGUAAACGAUGAGUGCUAAGUGUUAGAGGGUUUCCGCCCUUUAGUGCUGAAGUUAACGCAGUAAGCACUCCCCCUGGGGAGUACAGUCAGCAAGGCUGAAACUAAAAGGAAUUGACCGGGGCCCCCACAAGCGGAGGACCAUGUGCUUUAAUUCGAAGCAACGCGAAGAAGCCUUACCAGGUCUUCGACAUCAUCUGACAACCCUAGAGAUAGAGCAUUCUGCUUUCAGGAGCAGACUGACAGGUGGUGCAUGCUUGUCGUUCAGCUCGUGUCGUGAAAUGCUGGGCUAAGUCCCGCAACGAGCGCAACCCUUGAUCUAAGUUGCCAUCAUUCACUUGGGCACUCUAAGGUGACUGCAGGUGGACAAACCGGAGGAAGCUGGGGAGAUGACGUCAAAUCAUCAGUGCCCCUUAUGACCUGGGCUACACACGUGCUACAAUGCACGCUACAAAGGAGCUGACAAGAUCCGCAGAGAGUGGAGUUAAUUUCAUAAAACCGUUUUCAGUUCGGAUUGUAGGCUGCAAUUCGCGUACAUGAAGCUGGAAUCGUUAGUAAUCGCGGAUCAGCAUGCCGCGGUGAAUACGUUCCCGGGCCUUGUACACACCGCCCGUCACACCAGGGAAGUUGUAACCCCGAAAUUGGUAGGGGUACC